GGCGGCCACCUGCCCACAGAGGCACAGAGGGCCAGCCAACUGCAAGCACGGAACUUCAGGAUCUUGCUUUUCGGGUUCUUCUGAGCUAUGAAGGGGCCCAGAUUUAAGGGCUAUUUUUGACACCCUAAAUGUGCUGAGACAAGUCAUUAAGGUGGUCCUGCCAGGACACAGCCAUCUAAAGCAGCAAUCUGCUUCUUGCCAGAAAAUCUCGUGCCUCUGCAGAGCCUUUUCCAGAAUGAACCACACCAUGCUGAGGAAAGGAGAAAGAGACUACCUACUGCAUUUCUGUCACUCGCUGAAAAGGACACUCUGUCAGAAAAUCUUCUAGCAAACUUCAAAGGGCAAAAUCACCCCUUGUUACUGAUAAAGCCCAGAGAGCUUCAGCAGCUAACAUUCCCUGGACAGGGCACAGCAAGGAUUUGAACCUAGCUCACCAAGCUCCUGUAUCUACUGGAAAAUGGAAGUCCAGCCUUACCAACUUGUGAACCUUGUCUGAAGGGAGCCAGGGCCUGCCAAUGGAACCACCUCCAGGAGCUGCAACUGCUGUUGUCAUUAAUACCAUUGUGUCUAUUUUUUGAGAGAGAUAAACUUUUCAUGGUGUUACAUUUUGGAAAAAAAAAAAAAAGACUAGGUGAACAGUCAGGUAGGAAAGCAGCAUAACAGUCCCUUAAAUUCUGAUCAUGUAGGACAUUCUUCUUUGCCCUGGGCCUGGGAAAAUGCAGCAUGUUCCAGAGCAAAAGUCCUAAUGAGGGGAACUAAACCAGUGGGACCCAAACCAAUGUCCUGGCUCACUGAGGACCCGUUAGAACCAAAUCUCUGGGUGUGGACAGGCUCCCAUACUUUUCAAAAAUUCCCCUGAUGACUAAUGAACAACCAGAGGUAAGAACCAGUGGCCCAGAGGAAUAACCAGCCCAGCUGUUGUACGAGCUCGCUAAGCUGGCUCAGGUCAAUGUUGAAUUCUCUGCUAGGCAGCUCCUCAUAAGAACUGGCAGAGAUGGUUCUUACACAACAACAGGUGACAACUCCAGACUCUGCCGGAAGUUCCAGGAUCUGGGUUCCCGGACAAUGCAUGACACUCAGUCCAGCAUUGCAGGUGGAAGAGCGACGGUGAAAAGACCAAAGUCAAUUAAAAUGUGUUAACCAAAACAGGAAACAUGAGUGAGGUGAUUGAGAGUGUGUUUAACUUAGAUGUGUGAUUUUAUCAAUACUUUCAUUGUUCAAAAACUCUUAUUUUUUAAAGAUAUUUUCAAAACAAA
ensembl:lncRNA MIR4435-2HG MIR4435-2 host gene